rnacentral:rRNA from 1 species
UUAUAACAAACAAAAAGGUAGUAAAACACUAAACCAAUAUAAAAUGGCGGUCUAACAAACAUAAAGAAACUUGCUACAUAAUCGUAAACACCCGAUAAAUUUAACUUAAUAAACCAAAGCUCAUAUACCGCCGUUUCACAGAAACAACACACAAAACAAUUCAAAGACUUAAACUACAAUGAAAAAUCAGGUCAAGGUGUGGCUAAUAAUUAAGAAAUAGUUAGUUACACUAAAAAUAACUUAAGGAAAAUAUAAUAAAAAAUAUACAGAAAAAGAAUUUAUCUAUACAAGAUAAUUAAAAAUUAUCAUAGAAAUAUAAACAAAGACGC